GGUAGUAGCAAAUACUCAAAUGAGAACUUUGAGGACUGAAGUGGGGAAAGGUUCCAUGUGAACAGCAGUUGGACAUGGGUUAGUCGAUCCUAAGACAUAGGGUAGUUCCGUUUGAAAGCGCGCCCUAGUGCGCCGUUUGUCGAAAGGGAAGCCGGUUAAUAUUCCGGCACCUGGAUGUGGAUUCUCCACGGCAACGUAACUGAACGCGGAGACGUCGGCAGGAGUCCUGGGAAGAGUUCUCUUUUCUUCUUGACGGCCUAUCACCCUGAAAUCGGUUUGUCCGGAGCUAGGGUUUCAUGGCCGGCAGAGCCCCGCACCUUUGCGGGGUCCGGUGCGCUCCUGACGACCCUUGAAAAUCCGCGGGAAGGAAUAGUUUUCACGCCAGGUCGUACUCAUAACCGCAGCAGGUCUCCAAGGUGAAAAGCCUCUAGUU
rfam:Coccidioides immitis RMSCC 2394 supercont1.13 genomic scaffold, whole genome shotgun sequence.